AAUACAUGCAAGUCGAACGCACUCUCGUUUAGAUUGAAGGAGCUUGCUCCUGAUUGAUAAACAUUUGAGUGAGUGGCGGACGGGUGAGUAACACGUGGGUAACCUGCCCUAAAGUGGGGGAUAACAUUUGGAACAGAUGCUAAUACCGCAUAAAACCUAACACCGCAUGGUGUAGGGUUGAAAGAUGGUUUCGGCUAUCACUUUAGGAUGGACCCGCGGUGCAUUAGUUAGUUGGUGAGGUAAAGGCUCACCAAGACCGUGAUGCAUAGCCGACCUGAGAGGUAAUCGGCCACACUGGGACUGAGACACGGCCCAGACUCCUACGGGAGGCAGCAGUAGGGAAUCUUCCACAAUGGACGAAAGCCUGAUGGAGCAACGCCGCGUGAGUGAAGAAGGUUUUCGGAUCGUAAAACUCUGUUGUUGGAGAAGAAUGUAUCUGAUAGUAACUGAUCAGGUAGUGACGGUAUCCAACCAGAAAGCCACGGCUAACUACGUG
rnacentral:rRNA from 1 species